GACGAACGCUGGCGGCGUGCUUAACACAUGCAAGUCGAACGGAAAGGCCCUGCUUUUGUGGGGUGCUCGAGUGGCGAACGGGUGAGUAACACGUGAGUAACCUGCCCUUGACUUUGGGAUAACUUCAGGAAACUGGGGCUAAUACCGGAUAGGAGCUCCUGCUGCAUGGUGGGGUUGGAAAGUUUCGGCGGUUGGGGAUGGACUCGCGGCUUAUCAGCUUGUUGGUGGGGUAGUGGCUUACCAAGGCUUUGACGGGUAGCCGGCCUGAGAGGGUGACCGGCCACAUUGGGACUGAGAUACGGCCCAGACUCCUACGGGAGGCAGCAGUGGGGAAUAUUGCACAAUGGGCGGAAGCCUGAUGCAGCAACGCCGCGUGCGGGAUGACGGCCUUCGGGUUGUAAACCGCUUUCGCCUGUGACGAAGCGUGAGUGACGGUAAUGGGUAAAGAAGCACCGGCUAACUACGUG
rnacentral:rRNA from 1 species